GGAUGGGGUGCUGUAAGCUCCACGAUUGACAUCUAAGAGGUUAAAAGUAUAGUUCCGUCGUGUUUCGUCGUAUCAGUCGGAUCUCCAUUUUCCUUGUUCAGUUUCCUUGUUGUUGUGAAAAUUAUAAAUGAUUACAAAAUGCCGAAGUACUGCAGUGCACCGAGAUGUGCAAAUUCUAAUAAAAACGGAUAUUGCCUAACAACAUUACCCGACGAUGAAAGAAGAGAAGCGUGGAUUACUGCUAGUGGAAUUACGGAUUGGAAGCCCACAAAAACCGCUGCACUGUGCGAA